GUGUGAUUGGAGCACACAAGACUUGCUAAGGAGAGAGAACUGGCGACCCAAAGGCUGCGGCUUCCUAGCCACAUGUCAUGCUGCCCAAGGACAUAGCCAAGCUGGUCCCUAAAACCCAUUUGAUGUCUGAAUCUGAAUGGAGGAAUCUUGGCGUUCAGCAGAGUCAGGGAUGGGUCCAUUAUAUGAUCCAUGAACCAGAACCUCACAUCUUGCUGUUCCGGCGCCCACUACCCAAGAAACCAAAGAAAUGAAGCUGGCAAGCUACUUUUCAGCCUCAGGCUUUACACAGCUGUCCUUACUUCCUAACAUCUUUCUGAUAACAUUAUUAUGUUACCUUCUUGUUUCUCACUUUGAUAUUUAAAAGAUGUUCAAUACACUGUUUGAAUGUGC
rnacentral:sRNA from 1 species